rnacentral:rRNA from 1 species
UGGAAGUAAAAGUCGUAACAAGGUUUCCGUAGGUGAACCUGCGGAAGGAUCAUUACCGAGUGAGGGCCCUCUGGGUCCAACCUCCCACCCGUGUUUAUUUUACCUUGUUGCUUCGGCGGGCCCGCCUUAACUGGCCGCCGGGGGGCUUACGCCCCCGGGCCCGCGCCCGCCGAAGACACCCUCGAACUCUGUCUGAAGAUUGAAGUCUGAGUGAAAAUAUAAAUUAUUUAAAACUUUCAACAACGGAUCUCUUGGUUCCGGCAUCGAUGAAGAACGCAGCGAAAUGCGAUACGUAAUGUGAAUUGCAAAUUCAGUGAAUCAUCGAGUCUUUGAACGCACAUUGCGCCCCCUGGUAUUCCGGGGGGCAUGCCUGUCCGAGCGUCAUUGCUGCCCUCAAGCCCGGCUUGUGUGUUGGGCCCCGUCCCCCGAUCUCCGGGGGACGGGCCCGAAAGGCAGCGGCGGCACCGCGUCCGGUCCUCGAGCGUAUGGGGCUUUGUCACCCGCUCUGUAGGCCCGGCCGGCGCUUGCCGAUCAACCCAAAUUUUUAUCCAGGUUGACCUCGGAUCAGGUAGGGAUACCCGCUGAACUUAAGCAUAUCAAUAAGCGGAGGAAA